UUCUCCCCCAAUCAGGUUCCCUCCCCCAUUCUUUGGGUGCGUCUUGGCUUGUCCCGCCUGUCUUCUUCUAGGAAGCCACUCAGUCCUGCCUCAAAGAAGGGAGGAAGGAUGUCACCUUGUCCUGGGCAAGUUAUUGGGCAAGACCAGGCAGCUCCAGUGCUAAUUUAAUGCUGGGAAGAGAGCCGGGGAACCUGCAGCUCUGAUUAGGAACAAGGUCAUAGCGACCCAAAGGAGGCGGAGCAACUGGAGUUCAAGACGUUCACCUUAAAAGGUACACUCAGUUGCCCCUGCGUUUGGACUUUGCUGACCUGGAAAAAAGAGAACUGCAUGGUAAACCGUUUGUGUUCCAUCUCGUCAAAAGUAUAGCACCUGUGGGGGCUGAGCUGGUGUUUCGUGGGAUCAUGAUGAUUCUCUGACUUGAAGUGCAAGGACUGGGAAAAAAUUCCAUGUCUGUAAGAAAAUGAAUCCUAAAGAUUCCAGUGUUGUACCUUAUCCAUUGAUA
rnacentral:lncRNA from 1 species